AAAAAAAAAAAAAAAAAAAAAAAAAAAAAAAAAAAUAAAAAAAAAAAUUAAAAAAAAAAAAAAAAAAAAAAAAUGAAAAGAAAAAAAAAAAAUUGGAAAAAAAAAAAAAAAAAAAAAAAUUUAAAAAAAAAAAAAAAAAAAAUCGAAAUAGGGGAAAAAAAAAAAAAAAAAAAAAAAAAAAAAAAAAAAAAAAAAAAAAAAAAAAAAAAAAAAAAAAAAAAAAAAAAAAAAAAAAAAAAAAAAAAAAAAAAAAAAAAAAAAGAAAAAAAAAAAAAAAAAAAUCGAAA
rnacentral:misc_RNA from 1 species